CGCCCUGGCUCCUUUUUUCAUGGCAAUGGUUUGCUCCCUAACUGAAUUGCCUGCCUCCGAGUCCAUCAAUUCACUGACUCGCUUCUCCACCUCUAUUGCAGUUACAAACCCGUUCUCUGAUUCCUUCAUUGGCAAAGCAAUUUUAAUUUCUUCCACCAGCAACACCCUAUUGAACCUUUGCUCUGCAUACAGCGGCCAUGCCACCAUUGGCACUCCUGCACACACCGCCUCAAGCACUGAGUUCCACCCACAGUGAGUCACAAACCCGCCCACCGAGUUGUGAUUCAAUAUUGCUACCUGUGGAGCCCAUGACUUCACCACAAAUCCUCUCUCCCUGGUACGAUCCAAGAAACCAUCAGGGAGCAAUGAUUCCAAAUCUGGAUCUGCCUGGGGUGAGAUGGCUAAGCUGUGGUUAUUAGAUGGCGGAUUACGCACCACCCACAAGAACCUCUGUCCACUUCUCUCCAACCCAAUAGCUAUUUCUCUUAAUUGUUCCUUUGAGAACAACCCCAAGCUACCAAAACACAAAAAAACAACACUUCGACUUGGUUGAGAAUCAAGCCAGGUUAAACACUCUGGCACACCAUCAUUUCUAUUCUUGGUCACUAUUAAGGGUCCGAUACAGUAAACAAAUGGUGUGGUACUAUUGGGCACACAUGAUCCAUCCGAUAUUGCCUUUACAGCUCUGGCCUCAAGCAAUUCAAAGGUGUUUACGAUAAUUCCCGCAGAUUUGGGAAGGCAGUUAGUGAACUCUAAAAGGUAUUCAUAGGCCUUAUCGUAGCGAUCAAGCAUUGGCUUUGGCAUGUCAGUGGACAGUACUGGUGGAGCACCCGGAGCAUGGAGAAAAGUGUCAAGAUCUUUGAAACUUUUGGUAUUGUUGUCAUGAAUGGUCGGAAGAUAAAGGAAAAGAGCAAGACACGCAGCACCGGAAGUAAAGAAGAAAUAAACAGGGAUGUUGAGUUCAGAGGCAACAGAAAGAGAAGCAGCACAGAAGAAAUCCAUAAUUACGGCGUUAAUGGAGUGGCUUUUGGAGAUGGACAGAAGGGCUUGGCGGACAUGAGGCUUGCUGAGCCGGAGGACCUCAAAGGUGAGCGUUUCAUGAUGAGUGAUUGUCGUGGGAGGGAGAGUGAUGGUGGGAAGAUGGUGGAAGUAGAUUGAAGGAAUGGUGGCAGCCACUUCAGCAAUAUAAGGGGCAGUGGAGCCUGCACUGUAAGGUGCAGCGGUAAUGAAGAUCUGAAUGGAAAGGGAAGGUCGGUCGGAGAGUAUAAGCUUGCCUAACUCUACCAUAGAUAUCAAGUGGCCUAUAGCCGGUGAUGGGUAGAGAACUACAACCUCAUCCAUGGCUAUCGGUUGUGUUUCCUCAAGUCUCUGCGAGAAUGUGGGAGGGGCAGAGAGAGAGAGAGAGAGAGAGAG
rnacentral:misc_RNA from 1 species